AGCGAACGCUGGCGGCAGGCCUAACACAUGCAAGUCGAACGAACUCUUCGGAGUUAGUGGCGGACGGGUGAGUAACACGUGGGAACGUGCCUUUAGGUUCGGAAUAACUCAGGGAAACUUGUGCUAAUACCGAAUGUGCCCUUCGGGGGAAAGAUUUAUCGCCUUUAGAGCGGCCCGCGUCUGAUUAGCUAGUUGGUGAGGUAAAGGCUCACCAAGGCUACGAUCAGUAGCUGGUCUGAGAGGAUGACCAGCCACAUUGGGACUGAGACACGGCCCAAACUCCUACGGGAGGCAGCAGUGGGGAAUCUUGCGCAAUGGGCGAAAGCCUGACGCAGCCAUGCCGCGUGGAUGAUGAAGGUCUUAGGAUUGUAAAAUCCUUUCACCGGUGAAGAUAAUGACUGUAGCCGGAGAAGAAGCCCCGGCUAACUUCGUGCCAGCAGACGCGGUAAUGUAGUCGUGU
rnacentral:rRNA from 1 species